rnacentral:piRNA from 1 species
GCAAAGGACCAAAUGUAGAACAGAG